UGGUGCUCUUCUGAGGCUCUCACUGGUUGCUGGAAGAGGUCACUCUAUGGAGGCAAGAAGAUGACUUUGGAUGCCAAAAAGAGCAGCUCAUCAUAAACACUAUCACUUUUCCUGCCUUGUCCACUGGAGCUGUGCAGUGAUCAUCUUGAAGACUCCAAGCCAGAAUGGCAGAUCUUGAUUCCUCAGGAAGUGGAGACGCCCUUCUCCAGGCACUCAUGAAGGCUAUUUAGCUUUCCAAGCUCAUACAACUCUGCAGGCACAGAUACAUCUGUGCAAGUGUUUGAAAAAAGGUUUGACAAGACAGGGAAGGCCAAAAGGAAAUAAAGUAGGAAUUACCACUACUAGGACUGUCCUAUGAUCCAAAACUCCCUUUAUGAGUAGUAAAAACAAUCCUAACUUCUCAUACAUCAUAAUGACUUAGGAUGGCCAGGUCAGCUUGCUUUCAUGACUUGGUGAACCUGCUGGCUGACCAGCCAAACGCAUAGAUCUUUUCAGUGAAUGAACACAGCACUGUAUGGGGACUGAAAUAAAGCAAAAUACUGAUCUCUGAGUACAAAUGUACAGGCAGCAGCGAGGAGCACUCACCUUCCAAAGGACUGCUUUCUGCAGAGGAAUGUCCCUGGACAGGAAACUUUUGGGUUGUGUGUUGUGUCUCCAACACUGUGGAGAGACUUCCAGGAAAAUGCCUUGCAACAGCUUGAAGCUGCUGCUUCUACUCAACUGCCCAGAUGUGCGCUAUGGCCCUGAGCCACUUUCAACAGGAGAAGAUGACCCACAAGUGACCAUUUAAGCUCCUUCUCUAUCCAAUUUGGUUCAGCCACGUGGCAUCUGCCUUCCACUGCACUGCCACAGAUCUGCGCACAGCAAAUCCCUGCCUAAUAAUGAGUGCUGGGCUCAGUGCAUGCUGUGAUGAUGCAAGGUGGCUAUCUGCUGCUUGGAAAUCACAGAAGUGCGUGGAAAUGCAGAAGGGUUGGAGGGUGUGUUAGGGGGGACCUGUGUCCCUGGCCUAUAGCAUCCCUCGGAGCAUCCCAUGAAAGCCCUGGAGGGUGUAUAGUCCAGGAUUGGAGCAACGCACUGAAGAUAUCUACCUUUAAUGCUGUGUGUGCAUUUCAGGAGUUGAAAAAAAAAAAAAAAAAAAAAAACAGCUCAAGGCAAUGUAGACAAAGCAAUUUAAAAGGAAACAGAUUAAAGACAGUCAUGUGAGUGCAGCUGGGUCCUAGUAGUUAUGCCAUAUGCAUUUAUAGGUAGAUAUAUAUCUGGCAAAGAUCCCUCCCUCUCCUUCCCUGCGGGAUAUAAAUCUUGUGGAGUGCUAUUCAUGCUGCCACCCACCCAAUACUGAGGGGACCGGCGCAUCAUCUGAGGCUAUUCUGACACACAGGGUUUCCAAACUCUAGCAACAGAGUGUUGACAAGGAGGCUCCUAGGUUUUAUCUGAAAUCUGCUGAAUUCAAUAGAGCAGCCUGAGAAAAGACUCAAGGGGUCUAAGCUUGCAACAGUCAAAGUUAAGGCAGGCUGAAUGGCAGAGAUUUGGAUGGCUUUCCCAGUCUCCAUGUGCUUUUGCUGCUACUCAUUUCCUCAUCUGUAUCUGCAGCAUAACUGCUAAGUGCCAAUAGGGGCAUUUAUUCUGGGGUAGAGGGUGUGGCCAGUGCUGAUGGCUGCUAAGGGUAUGAAAAUGCAGAACAGCUGCCUGUAGAAGUGAGUUUUGAACUCCAAGCUGUUUCAUUUCCAGCUGAGCGCAUUUUCCCUUAUUUUCCUGCAUACAGAAAGAACAUUUUCUCUUGUGUCUAAGUGCCACUCCUUGUCUCUACAAUACAACAGAACAAAUAGCCUAAUCAGACUGAAAUGCAGAGCAUGCUGAAAAAUUGGGAACACUCAGGACAUAGUCAGUGAAGGUAAAAGUCUCCCUUGUUGUAGGAAGUGAUAAAUCCCAUAGAAAGAGUUACAGAAAUGGAAGGGCAGAACUGGAGUGAUGCAAAGGAGCAAGGAUUAUGGAAGGUGAACAUCCCUGGGCUCUCCUGCAGAUGGUGGGAUCACCUGCAGGAACACAGCCUGGUGCUGGUCCGAGAAGCAAAGCAUAUCUUCCAACCAGUACUCUCCCAAGAUC